rnacentral:tRNA from 1 species
AGUGGUGUACGCAAAUGGCUUAAGCGGCUUGGCUUUCAUCCAAGUGAUUGCGGGUUCAAUCCCCGUCACCACUCCCA